rnacentral:rRNA from 1 species
UCUACGUCGACGACCGGCGCACGGGUGCGUAACGCGUAUGCAACCUACCCAUUACAGGGGGAUAACACUGAGAAAUCGGUACUAAUACCCCAUAACAUCCAGGGAGGCAUCUUCUUGGGUUGAAAACUCCGGUGGUAAUGGAUGGGCAUGCGUUGUAUUAGUUAGUUGGUGGGGUAACGGCUCACCAAGACAACGAUACAUAGGGGGACUGAGAGGUUAACCCCCCACAUUGGUACUGAGACACGGACCAAACUCCUACGGAAGGCAGCAG